rnacentral:lncRNA from 1 species
GGAGAAGACACGCAUGCCCGAAGAGCCCUGCAGGGGAGCGGCUCCCUGAGCCAGGGCGGAGUGCGCAAGCGCAGACGGGGCCCCUGCAGAGGGGCUGAUGAGGAGGGGGCGGAGGGCGCUGGGCGUGGCUGAGGCUCCCCAGAGAAAAGCCGGUCUUCGGGCCGGGGAGACAGAGUGGGUGCCGGCACCCGGUCAGCAGUUGUCAGGCGCCACACUGGAGAGCACGGCGUGCGGUUGGGCAGGCUGUGUGCUCGGCCUCCCGACCCCAGCGCCCCCCGUGGGAGCGGGUCCGCUCCGCCCGCACUGCGGCCCUGGUCCGCGGGGCAGCGCCCCCUGGUGGGGUCGAGGCGAAGUUCACCUCUCAAGGUGGAAUGUGUACAUGGAAUGUACGGAUGGUUCAACCAAUGAAGAUCAAUCAGUGCAAUACUUCAAGUUAACAAGAUGAAGGAUAAAAAUAUAUGAUUAUGAAAUGUCUGACAAACUUAGCAUUCUUUCUUGAUUAAAAACAGCAAAGUAGGGAUAGAAGAAAACUACAUCAACAUAAGGAGAAGCGCACAUGAAGUAUCCACAGCUAAGCCAAACUCGAUGGGGAAAGACUGAAAUUGGUUCGUCUAAGAUCGGAAAUAAAGCAAAGGUGCAUUCUCUCACCACUGCUGUUCAGUACGGUACUAGGACUACUAUCAUGAUCCUCCAGACGUGAGAAGGAAAUGAAGGUGUGCAAGCUCAGUAAUGUCCACUGAUUUAUAUAUUAAUUAUUUUUGUAUCACAUCUCCCUAUUUCACCUCCCAUUUCAGCCCUUGAAAACAAAAAUUCCAGUUUAUGCUUCUCUGAGCUCCACAUUUUGGAUUCCAUAUAUGAAAGAGACUGUGCACUGGGACAGCACAGUGGGUUGCUGAGUGACUACAGAAAAUACCUGGAGGUUCUUGGGCAGGAGGAGACUUAUGAAAGUAUUAACAGGAAAGCACAAGUCUAGUUAGAGCUUACCAGCAGAAAAGGAGUGUCCUGUGACAGUAGGCUGGACUAUAGCUAGGAAGUCUCAAGGCAGAGGGCUGAGCAGGAAAUCACCAGAAGCUCCAGUGGCAGUGAGCUGGACAAGGAAACUGCCAGUGGGAAUUUGAAGUGUGCAGCGGAGGCUGGAUGAGCCAGGGCACCCCACAGCACCCUACUCCACACCCCUGUUGCACAGGAGGGGGUGGUACAGAGAGAGCUACGCAGCAGUGACAUCAGUAGCUUUUUCUCUGUUUAAUUGUGUGACCAGC